rnacentral:rRNA from 1 species
AUUGAACGCUGGCGGCAGGCCUAACACAUGCAAGUCGAGCGGAUGAAGUGAGCUUGCUCCUGGAUUCAGCGGCGGACGGGUGAGUAAUGCCUAUGAAUCUGCCUGGUAGUGGGUUAUAACGUCCGUAAACGGGCGCUAAUACCGCAUACGUCCUGAGGGCGUAAGUGGGGGAUCUUCUGACCUCACGCUAUCAUAUUAGCCUAGGUCGGAUUAGCUAGUUGGUUGGGUAAAGGCCUACCAAGGCGACGAUCCGUAACUGGUCUGAGAGGAUGAUCAGUCACACUGGAACUGAGACACGGUCCAGACUACUACGGGAGGCAGCAGUGGGGAAUAUUGGACAAUGGGCGAAAGCCUGAUACAGCCAUGCCGCGUGUGUGAAGAAGGUCUUCGGAUUGUAAAGCACUUUAAGUUGGGAGGAAGGGAAGUAAGUUAAUACCUUGCUGUAUUGACGUUACCAACAGAAUAAGCACCGGCUAACUUCGUG